UACUAGAAAUAUGAUUAGCCAUUAGUAUUUUGGAUAAAGGGAAGGACGGUGUAACUCCGUCGCGGACCCGCCGCUGUAACCGGGGACAAAACCUGCCGAAACCACUGUUUAACACUAAACGGGAAGGUGCAGGGAGUAGAACGAUCCGGGAGCCAGAAAACCUUGUCCAAAUAUGUUUUACAC
rnacentral:ncRNA from 2 species